rnacentral:misc_RNA from 1 species
GAACGCACCUUGCGCCCUUUGGCUAUUCUGAAGGGCAUGCCUGUCUGAGCGUCAGCAGCCAAAAAAAUCCAAAUCUUUGUAGAUAAAGAUUUGGAUUUGGUUAAGAGAUGUAAUCUGUGUAAGAACCGGUUACUCUUUUGAAAUUUAAAGGCAGUAUUGAUCAAUCCAACUGUAAACGUGAUAAAACAUUUCGUUUUAUUGUUCGGAAUGAGCUUUUUGCUUGCCUAUAAACCCACUCAUCUUCAUGGGUGACCUCAGAUCAGGUAGGGAUACCCGCUGAACUUAAG